UACGGAGGGUGCGAGCGUUGUCCGGAAUCACUGGGCGUAAAGGGCGCGUAGGCGGCCCUCUAAGUCGAACGUGAAAUCCCUGGGCUCAACCCAGGAACUGCGUCCGAGACUGGGGGGCUAGAAUCCGGGAGAGGGAUGUGGAAUUCCAGGUGUAGCGGUGAAAUGCGUAGAUAUCUGGAGGAACAUCGGUGGCGAAGGCGGCAUCCUGGACCGGUAUUGACGCUGAGGCGCGAAAGCCAGGGGAGCAAACGGG
rnacentral:rRNA from 1 species